GAACGGCCACCCAAGUGAGGAGUGUGCUGCAGGUUAACGAAGUGAUCACCAUUAUAACGUUGUGGUUAACCGCAGACACUUCUCAAUUAAACCGAACUCCGGGUGGUCGUCGUUCGUAUGUCGACCACGAGGCAGCGGCCAUUUUAAAUCAUGCGAACGCCCAGCGGUGUUUGGCUCUAUUUCUAUGGAACUGAAAACGGACACUUUUUCUGCCGAACACCGCUGAAACAAG